UACGAAGGGGGCUAGCGUUGUCCGGAAUUAUUGGGCGUAAAGCGUACGCAGGCGGCUCGGCAAGUCGAGUGUGAAAUCCCGGGGCUCAACUCCGGAACUGCAUUCGAUACUGGAGAGCUUGAGUCCGGGAGAGGUGAGUGGAACUGCGAGUGUAGAGGUGAAGUUCGUAGAUAUUCGCAAGAACACCAGUGGCGAAGGCGGCUCACUGGCCCGGUACUGACGCUGAGGUGCGAAAGCGUGGGGAGCAAACAGG
rnacentral:rRNA from 1 species